AACGAACGCUGGCGGCAUGCCUAACACAUGCAAGUCGAACGAGACCUUCGGGUCUAGUGGCGCACGGGUGCGUAACGCGUGGGAACCUGCCCUUAGGUUCGGAAUAACUCCCCGAAAGGGGUGCUAAUACCGGAUAAUGUCUUCGGACCAAAGAUUUAUCGCCUUUGGAUGGGCCCGCGUUGGAUUAGCUAGUUGGUAGGGUAAAAGCCUACCAAGGCGACGAUCCAUAGCUGGUCUGAGAGGAUGAUCAGCCACACUGGGACUGAGACACGGCCCAGACUGGGACGGGAGGGAGCAGUGGGGAAUAUUGGACAAUGGGCGAAAGUCUGAUACAGCAAUGCCGCGUGAGUGAUGAAGGCCUUAGGGUUGUACAGCUCUUUUACCCGGGAUGAUAAUGACAGUACCGGGAGAAUAAGCACCGGCUAACUCCGUG
rnacentral:rRNA from 1 species